GGCUUAACACAUGCAAGUCGAACGAUGAUCUCCAGCUUGCUGGGGGGAUUAGUGGCGAACGGGUGAGUAACACGUGAGUAACCUGCCCUUGACUCUGGGAUAAGCCUGGGAAACUGGGUCUAAUACCGGAUACGACCGUCCCGCGCAUGCGGUGGUGGUGGAAAGCUUUUGCGGUUUUGGAUGGACUCGCGGCCUAUCAGCUUGUUGGUGGGGUAAUGGCCUACCAAGGCGACGACGGGUAGCCGGCCUGAGAGGGUGACCGGCCACACUGGGACUGAGACACGGCCCAGACUCCUACGGGAGGCAGCAGUGGGGAAUAUUGCACAAUGGGCGAAAGCCUGAUGCAGCGACGCCGCGUGAGGGAUGACGGCCUUCGGGUUGUAAACCUCUUUCAGUAGGGAAGAAGCGAAAGUGACGGUACCUGCAGAAGAAGCGCCGGCUAACUACGUGCCAGCAGCCGCGGUAAUACGUAGGGCGCAAGCGUUAUCCGGAAUUAUUGGGCGUAAAGAGCUCGUAGGCGGUUUGUCGCGUCUGCUGUGAAAGACCGGGGCUCAACUCCGGUUCUGCAGUGGGUACGGGCAGACUAGAGUGAUGUAGGGGAGACUGGAAUUCCUGGUGUAGCGGUGAAAUGCGCAGAUAUCAGGAGGAACACCGAUGGCGAAGGCAGGUCUCUGGGCAUUAACUGACGCUGAGGAGCGAAAGCAUGGGGAGCGAACAGGAUUAGAUACCCUGGUAGUCCAUGCCGUAAACGUUGGGCACUAGGUGUGGGGGACAUUCCACGUUUUCCGCGCCGUAGCUAACGCAUUAAGUGCCCCGCCUGGAG
rnacentral:rRNA from 1 species